GGCUAUAAUUCAGUGGCAGAAUGCUUGCUCAGCAUGCAUGAGGUUGUAGGUUCAAUUCCCACUACUGCUG
rnacentral:tRNA from 1 species